rnacentral:tRNA from 1 species
AGGAAUAUAGCUCAGUGGUAGAGUGCUUGCCUUGCAUGCACAAGGCCCUGGGUUCAGUCCCCAGCAUCACAA